rnacentral:rRNA from 1 species
AUUGAACGCUGGCGGCAUGCCUUACACAUGCAAGUCGAACGGUAACAGGUCUUCGGAUGCUGACGAGUGGCGAACGGGUGAGUAAUACAUCGGAACGUGCCCGAGAGUGGGGGAUAACGAGGCGAAAGCUUUGCUAAUACCGCAUACGAUCUCAGGAUGAAAGCAGGGGACCGCAAGGCCUUGCGCUCACGGAGCGGCCGAUGGCAGAUUAGGUAGUUGGUGGGAUAAAAGCUUACCAAGCCGACGAUCUGUAGCUGGUCUGAGAGGACGACCAGACACACUGGGACUGGGACACGGCCCAGACUCCUACGGGAGGCAGCAGUGGGGAAUUUUGGACAAUGGGCGCAAGCCUGAUCCAGCCAUGCCGCGUGCAGGAUGAAGGCCUUCGGGUUGUAAACUGCUUUUGUACGGAACGAAAAGACUCUGGCUAAUACCUGGGGUCCAUGACGGUACCGUAAGAAUAAGCACCGGCUAACUACGUGCCAGCCGCCGCCGUAAGAC